GUCUUUUUCAAGACGCCCUGACGAAGAUAUUAGACGCCACGCGUCCCUAGUUUCGCGAUAAAUAAUUCUCUCGAAGCAUGGUCGAUAAAUCUCCGUCGAUAAGCAGGAAUCUCGAAGUGUUUCCAUACCAGGGGGCAACGUGGACGUUCCGUAACCGCGAUUUGUAAGACAAAUGCGUUCCUCAUCUAACCAUCUGUUAAGUAUGUUUCGCCCGCGCGAUACGUUUGACACCGACGAUCGAGGGUUACGGAUCGUCGACGACGCUCAGCCUUCGCCGUGUCCCUUUCUCUCUCCUUUCUUUUUUACGAGACAGCGUAGAGGCAGGGUAGGAGACCCGAAUCCUGAAGCAGUGGACCGUGAAUGCGAUACCAGGUUCGCAGUGCUUCGACAGGGGGGUUGGCGCCGUCAAACAACCGUUCGUCGACCAUCCCUCCACGAACCCAUCCUCCGCAGGUUAUGCAAGUGUGACCGCGGUAGAUUUUGGCGGGAAACAGCAGUGUUACUAACCUUUGUCAAGAUACAUGGAAAAAUUCCCACGAAGUCCCGACAAACAGGUCACGAGAGUCAUAAUAUUUGGCUGUAACGCGAAACGAUUGCGCGUAAACACGUGCAAGCAAGAUGGGCGGUAUCGUCGCUUCGAAGAAUGGAACACGUGUCACGUAUUGUGGAGAAAAAGCCGAGUCGUUCGCCACAAAGGAAGAUUACGAGUUCCCUGCCGCUUUGAAAGUACACCUGACAGAGGAUCGAGGUGUAUCUAUCCAUACACGUUGAGAUUAGAGUGCGUCAAGUAGUAUGUCAGUCCCAUUCGAAGACACAAACCCGUCCGUUGAACCGGUAGAGCAAGGCCUAUGGACGUUACGUUGUCAUCGGAGUAUGGUCUAGAAGAGAUAGAAAAUAUUUUUCUUAUCUAUCACCGAGAUAGUAUACUCCCAUUAUUAUAUCAGUUAUGAAAUAUUAACCUGAAAACGAAUGUUAUGAAAAUGAGAAAUAUGAUUAAAUUCGUCGACGAACAAACGACGCCUGGCGAAAACGUUUUCUCGACCAUAUAUCGCGAUCGUUUCCACGCCAUAGAUCACCACUCACGUGCUGCUGCGUGCCGGAUCAUCGAUCACGAUUAGUCCUCAGGACCUGCCAGAAGUUCAUCGAUUUUCCAGCCACCCUAAAAUCGGCAGUUCAUGCGUUCCUCGAUGGGGGACCCUGCACCCUUCUCCGAAAACUCUAUCACGAUUAAAAAAAAAAUUAAUGUUUGAAUGAUUUCAAGUGCAACACUUCCUCUGGAUUCCUCCCAUCCAACUCCCCAGAAGUCGAGUACUCGCGAAGACAACCUUGAUGCCGCAUCAACGGAAAGAAACGUUCACUUUCGAGACGAACUUGG